ACGGGGUUCAGGAAAGCUGGCCCAGCUGAGGGCCCUCACCACUUCUUGGAGAGCCGAGGACCCCCGUCCAGGACAAGAGAGGGGCCGCUGACGCCCCUGGAGAAACCACAUUCCUCAGCGAGCAGUGGGAACCCCUUGGACAGGGGCUGGGCUGGGCUGAGGGGAGGAGCGGGCCUCCCAGGCUAGCGCUGGCCAGCAGGCGGUCCUGCCACCUCCCUUCUGCCCUGCUCUCCACCGAUCAGCCUUUCCUUCUGCCGGCGGCUCAGUCAGUGGCUCCGGAGUCCAGCGGUGCCUCUCAGGCCACAGGCUCCACGCCAGGGCUGGACCUGCCUCUUCUCUGUCGGGGGCUCUGCUGGGACCCCGCCCCCACAGCCCCAAACGUGGCCCCCUCCCAGAGGCCAAGCAUCAGCGGUCCCGGAGGGCAGGGCUGAGCCCAAAGGUCCCAGGCCCAAAGAGAGGACGCCACCCAGCAGCCCAGCGCCUACCUGUGGUGUGGGCGGCUCCACUUUCCGUUUCUUCUUCUGGUUCUGCUUGUUGGUCCUGGGGUAGACCAUGAGCAUCUCCAGCCACCUAGAAGAGAAGAGCCAGGACACCAGGUGAGGACCCGGAUCAAACCUCUGUAUAGUCAUCGCCCACACCAUUGGGGCUUCAUACGCGGAAGCAGUGAGCAGAGAAAGACGAGCACCCUGUCCCUUGCCGUGGAAGCCCUGGGCUACUGGGGACCCUGCCAGCAAGAAGGCCCCCCACCCCAACUCAGCCUUGCAGCAGCUCCGGAAGCACGGGCAUGGGGAGCCCCGGCUCCUCACAGUUUGCCUGUCGGUGGUACAGGCGCCCAGAAUGGACUGAAGCGCCCUCUGGUGUGGGCCGAGGCCACACGCGGCCGGUUCUGGACUAGGGGAGAGAUGGAGAUGCUCCCCUUGUUUGUCCCAGGCCUUGGGACGUGCGUGCUAAGGGCUGGCGGCAGAGGGCUCUGCUGCCCCUCACUCAGCUGCCAGGGUUGGGGCUGCUUCAGCGAGGCAGUGCUCUGCGUCUCCCGUGUGCCUGCGCCAAAGUGCUCUGCGCUGCGGUCAUCAGCCUGUGGCCCAGACGUACUCUCUCCCCAGGGCUUCCGAAUUGGCCUCACCUGCCUCCUUCCCAACCUGAAAGGGCACCAGUGGACUCCCUGGGACCUGGGUGUACCACACACAGCCCUCCAUCCCGGACCAGGCUGCUAGGAGCUAACGCCCUGCUGCUGGGCCAACUGCCCCGGGAGGCAGAUGCUGCUGUGAGCUCAAGGGGGCCGGGCUCGUGCCCCCCGGAAGUCAGCUGCCUUAAAACCUGGCCCCCUUCCACACUCAGGCUUCCCAGGCCUGCACACGGUGGGGGCGGGGUGGGGGGACAAGAUUCAUUCAUUCCUCCUACCUGGCCAAGGAAGUCAGGCUGAGCAGCAGCAGAGGGGCGGCUUUCUGUGUGAGACCAGGACGUGCCCGAGGCCCACACACGAGCCAGGUGGGACCCCAGGUGUGCAUGUGUGUGCAUGUUGAUAGUGGAGAGACAUGGCAGCCUGGACACGGGAGCAGCCUGGUGGCCGUGAAGCGUGAGGUGAGGCCCAGAGAGCAGACACACCUGGGAAGCCUGCGGCGCCGCGACCCGACACACCGCGGCUGCGCAUGAGCACUCACCCACUGAUGGUCUCCUUGGUCUCGGCCCUUAUGAAGUGCUCCUUCUCAGGCGUCAGGAUGCACAGGGAGGACUUCUGGCCGGUGCGGCCCUCGCCGUCCACCACGUCCGUGCACUGGUUCAUGUUGAUGGUGCCUUGCGGGAGGGUCGUGGGCUGUGGGAAGACAGCAGAGUCACAGAGAGGCCAGCAGGAGCCACGCCCAUCCUCAGGUGGCCCUCCCUCUGUGGAGAGCAGCACCCCAGCUUUGCCUGCAGGACGGCACGGGGAGAUGGGCGACCGAGAGUCCAGCCUCAGGGGAGGGGCUGCUGACCCAAGAGCGCACUGAGACAGCUCCAGAGCAGCGGUCUCCAAGCAGCAAGCCUACCCGAGGAGCGAGGAGAGGCUGGAGAGGAGCCGCACCCCCGAGCGCCAGCUGGGGGUGGGAGGGACGGAACCAGGCACCUGCCCCGCCAGCGCUGACACAACACACCCUAACCUCCCUGACAGCCAAAGCUAUAGGCCACUGAAACCAGGAACAGAAACCCAGAGCCAGGCUUUCAGAGAUUCCCACGGGGUUCAGGCCAGACCAGGGGAGCCUCCUAGAGAUCUGCUAGCUGUCGAUGCCUGUACUCCCCAGAGGUGGGGAUGCUUUGGCGGGGGUGGGGGACGCACGGUGGCCCUCCCAGGACCCUGUCCCCUCCGCCCUCUGUGCUGAAGGGGCCACAGGGAUGCCAUGGCCUGCAGGGCCCAGAUGCCCAGCAGCCAGAGGGAGGGCAGGCUCUGAGUCCACCUGCUCUGGGGCAGCUGGCAGCCCCGCUGCGGGGCUCACCAGGAGCCUGCCACUUCCUGGGUCUCAUCCCUGGAGAAGCAGUGUGGAACUGGGAGAAGAGUGGGAUGGUUGGGCUAUCCCUCCCAGGGCUCUAGGGGUCCCUACCCCCUACCACCAGUGGAGGGAAGGGUCUGACUCACAGAGCAGGGGGCUGGGCCUGGCACCACACACCACACACCACACACACCCCGGUUCCUCUGUCAAGCUCAGGUUAGGCACAACCUCCCCAGACCCCGGCAGCUCAAUCCACCUCAUCUUCCUGCCAUUUCCAUCCAGCUGGCCUGUGGGCAUCUCGACUCACCUGCACCUGCCUGAAGCCCACUGGAGGGCUCUGUGAGGCAGACCCUGCUUGCCACACACUGUGUGGCAGGGCCUGACUCCACCCCAAUCCUUGGGCUCACGGUGUCAACAAUGCCAACAGCAUCUUAUCUGUGCCAUGGUGUCAGCAGGUUACCAACACCACACACACCACACACACACAGACGAGUAACAUCUGUCAACAGCAGCGCUGACGGGGGCGGAAUGGUGGUGGCACUGCGGCAUGACAAGGUGCGCAGCCACCUCCAACACCAGUGUCCUAUAUGGGGGCAGGGUCGGGUCUCCACUGCUCUCUUCUCAUCCAGCUUCCUGCUAAUGUGCCCAAGAGCAUGGGCCCCAGAACUCAUGUGAGAGAGGCAGAUGAAGUUCCAAGCUCCUGGCUUCGGUCUGGCCAAGCCCCUGGCCACUGUGACCAUUUGGAGAGACCACCAGCAGAUGAAAGAUCCAUCCCUCUCUCACAAUCUGCCUUUCAAACAAGAGAGGAGAGGGGAGAGGGGAAAGAGGAAAGAGGAGAGAGGAGAGAGGAGAGAGAAGAGAGGAGAGAGAAAAGAAAAACUACUCCAGCAAGGCCCGGGCCCUGAGCUGCAAGGGCAAGUAUCUAGGCUGUAACCCAAAUCCAGCCAGAGAGUGCGUCUGCCUCUGGUGCUGGCAGCAGUGACGUCAGCUCCACAGAGCUCUCUGCCCUAAUUCUACACCUCCAGGGGUUAGGAAUCCAGGUCUUCAGAGGCUGAGCAUCCAGUGGUUUUGAUUCAUUCAUUUUCCAAAGGAGAUGGCCAUUCACAGGCUAUGGACCCCACCACCAUCGCACAUUACGGCUUCCCUGGUUCCUGCAGCCACAGCUAGGAUGGCAGAACUGCUACCAGGAGGGGACCACACGGGAAAGUACAAGACAAGGUCUCUCUGCAAAGAGGUAACACACCCAGCCAGGAGCCUGGCCCUUCCGCCUGUCCUACACCUGCUCACCCACAAGAGCAGGAAGCUCUGGUACCCUGCGGCCAGGUGACCUGUAGGCAGCGUCACCGUCACAGUCCACAACACAGUGGGACCGGCCCGGCCACACAGAGCAGCCCCGACGCUGUCCUCAUCCAGGCCGUGUCCACACCACACUGCCUCCUGCAGAAGGCGGCCCUGGUUCUGCACCCCUCUCCAGCCAUCAGCAGCCCCGUGGGAACCAGGAAGAAGCCUGGCCAGCUGGGUCUGCAGGCUGCAGCCACUGCACAGGUUGGGGAACCUACUCGCUGGGUCAGCACAGGCUGGGGUGGCCUCCCACAGCGCCCGAGGCCUAAAGCACCCAGCCCUGGAGUCACGGCCUGGCUCUGUGGUCUCGGCUGAAUGGCAGCUCUUGGGUCUGAGUCACCACAGACGUAAAAUGGGGUGAAACGGCAUCCCAUCCAACUGCUAACUGGCGUCGCUGUCUGGGACAGCCUGGCGCCUGAUCCAGCGCCCAGUGUAGACAGCGCUGGCUGAGCAGCGCUACUCACAACGGCCACAAGGCGGGAAUGACCCAGAUGCCCAGCAGCGGGUAAGAGAAGACACGUGAUGUGUUCUGUCCAUAAAUGGAACGCCAGCCAGACGAAAGAGCGAGCACUGACACAGCCUGCGACAUAAGCGACCCUGAAAAUGUGAAGCAAGCAGAGUUGGAAGCCAGGAGCAGAGGACGAACAUCAUCUGAUUCAUCCAACAGGAGCCCUUAGGAGCAGGCGGCUCCAGAGCCGGCACCGGGUGGGGCAGGGUGCAGCAGGGGCAGUAAUGAACAGCCACACGUGUUUUUCCUCACCUGGUUAGAGCUAUCCUGAGACCAGAAGGGAUGCCGUUCCCGGGAGGCGAGGGCCCGACUGGCACCCACACAGCCCACCGAAGCAAGGGCAGUCAGGAGACAUAUUUGGGGCACCUUCAGGGGCGUGCACCACAGGGACACAACAGGGUGGAGGCAUCAUGGACCACCAGCUGUCCCGCUGCAAGGGGAGGGGAAGCGAGGCUGCUGUGGGGACAGGCGCCAGCUGCCUGCGCUCAGAUGCCAAACGGGGAUCUUGAGGACAACUGGCCCUGCUGAGUGGCUCCUCUAGGGCAGAAGAGUGACCUACACACCUGUAUGCAUCACACAUGACCCUGAGGUUACCUAAAAGACAAUGACUCCCUACACUUACAACAAAACAAAGUCCUGCACACAUCAGAGCCCCAGGGUUUGAAUCCCAGCUCUGCUCUCAACUCCAGCUUUCUGCUAAUGCCCCUUGAAAGGCAGUGGUGAUAGCUCCAGUGCCUGGGCUCCCACCACCCACAUGGGAGACCUGGGAGUUCUGGGCUCCUGGCUUCAGCCUGGCCCAGUUCUUGCUGUUGUGUCCAUUUGAAAAGCUAACCAGAAGGAGGAAGAUAUCUCUGUCUUUCAAACAGAAUGAAAAUAAUUUUUUUUUUUUAAAGUAAAACACUGCACAGAGCAGAAGACAGCCACAGGCCCCGCAGCCUGGAGCCUAGCCUGAAAGGACUGCGGGGCCUGCCCCACAUCCCAGGACUGGCAAUAAGACCCAGCUGCCACCACCGUUUGUGACAGGAGCAGCCAGGGUCCUGACAGUCUAUCCACAGGGCUCUGACCACAGCCUUUUGGCUAAGAUCAAGUGUAGUAUCUAUUCUUAUCAGCUUAAAAAGAUUCAGCCCUGUGCCAGUUCGAUACCUGACUGCUCUACUUCUGAUCCAGCUCCCUGAUAAAGACCCAGAAAAAGCAGGGGAAGAUGGCCCAAGUGCAUGGGCUCCUGCAACCCAUGUGGGAGACCCAGAAGAAACUCCUGGCUCCUGGCUUCAGCCCAGCCCCACUCAUUUCAGCCAGGUGGGAGUGAACCAGUGGAUGGAAGAUCACUCUCUCUCUCCCCCUCUCUCCAACU